GGUUGUUGCCAUAAGGACAAACAAGCUCCCUCUUCUGAAUGCAUUGAGGAUGCUUGCUGGCAGAAUCGAACCAAUAAACCAAUUGCCACUACUGAGUAA
rnacentral:snoRNA from 1 species